UCAAAUCUGGCUGUUUAUUAGGCUGGAUAUCAACGUCGAUGACGCAGUAUUUUUGAAUGAAUACGCAACAUCUCGACCCAUUUUGGUAUCGAUGACAGUUUGACUGUCGCCUUGAAAUGGGGAAAAUAGGGGGAAAUAGAUUCCAUGACCUCAGAAAUUAUUAGUGGCAAUUGACUAGACAGUUAUAUUGUCUGAAGAAACUAUGAGCCGAAUACAUAUGUGUUUCUGCUGCGAUGCAGCUUUGCUUGUACAGCUGUAAAAGAAGUGUAAAUACUAAAUUCUCCGGCAGUCUCCACGUUACCUAAUCUUCUGUAAGAAUAUUCCGGUCAAGCGGACGAAGUUGCAGAACUCCGCAUAAAAGAUAGGCUCUCGACAGUCUGCUAUCGGAGGAUUCUUGGAUACUUCGGUCAUGUUGCUCGACGACAGUCCGACAAUCUGGACAAACUAAUGGUUGUAGGCAAGAUAGAGGGAAAAAGACCGCGCGGACGAUCGCCUAAUCGAUGGUCGGACCAAGUAACCGCUGUUACAGGACUGUCAAUUGCAGCUGCCCUGCGAGAAGCUGAAGACCGUGCACAAUGGAAUAACACCAUAAGAGAGACAACAGACACCUUUCAAGGACACGACCUUCAGUAAUGAAGUGGACGGAGAGAGAAAGAGAGAAAAUAACGGAAUUUAAUAUAAAUAUAAUAAUUAAAUAAAUAAAUACAUUAUAGUCGAUGUAAUUUAAUAAUAAAUUUAAUUUAACCGUAAUUGUCAAGUAGUAAAAUUAAAUUCUACCUAGUCCAGCCAUGAGUUCUAUUACAAAUAAAAAUAUUUUUUUUAUGAAGUAAAAUACUAAAAUUUAUACCUUAAUAUUUAUUAAAGUCUCAGCAAAAAAUAAUAAAAUAUUCUAUUCGAAAUAAUAACUAAACUUUAAAUAAUAAUAGUUUAGUUCACUCUACCCGCUGAUAUUUGUAUUUCUUUCCACUUUGGAUUUGCUGGAAGAGAACUCUUUUAGAGUUAAACUCGCCUUUGUACAUUUGAUUACUUCUGUCGUAUGUACAUACAUACAUACAUAUCUGUCACGCCUG